rnacentral:rRNA from 1 species
GGGCCCGCACAAGCGGUGGAGUAUGUGGUUUAAUUCGAUGCAACGCGAAGAACCUUACCAGGGUUUGACAUCCUGCGAAUCUCUUGGAAACAGGAGAGUGCCUUCGGGAACGCAGUGACAGGUGGUGCAUGGCUGUCGUCAGCUCGUGUCGUGAGAUGUUGGGUUAAGUCCCGCAACGAGCGCAACCCACGUCUUUAGUUGCCAGCAUUUAGUUGGGCACUCUAGAGAGACUGCCGGUGAUAAACCGGAGGAAGGUGUGGAUGACGUCAAGUCAUCAUGCCCCUUACAUCCUGGGCUACACACGUACUACAAUGCUACGGACAAAGGGCUGCAAGUUCGCGAGGACAAGCAAAUCCCAUAAACCGUGGCUCAGUUCGGAUAGGAGUCUGCAACUCGACUCCUUGAAGUUGGAGUCGCUAGUAAUCGCAAAUC